CGAGAGUGAAGCCCCGGGCCUGGGACUGCAUUUCGAACUGGCAAACUAGAGUGUGAUAGAGGGUGGUAGAAUUUCAGGUGUAGCGGUGAAAUGCGUAGAGAUCUGAAGGAAUACCGAUGGCGAAGGCAGCCACCUGGGUCAACACUGACGCUCAUGUACGAAAGCGUGGGGAGCAAACAGGAUUAGAUACCCUGGUAGUCCACGCCGUAAACGAUGUCUACUAGGAGCUGGGGUCUUCGGACAACUUUUCCAAAGCUAACGCAUUAAGUAGACCGCCUGGGGAGUACGGCCGCAAGGUUAAAACUCAAAUGAAUUGACGGGGGCCCGCACAAGCGGUGGAGCAUGUGGUUUAAUUCGAUGCAACGCGAAGAACCUUACCUACACUUGACAUACAGAGAACUUACCAGAGAUGGUUUGGUGCCUUCGGGAACUCUGAUACAGGUGCUGCAUGGCUGUCGUCAGCUCGUGUUGUGAGAUG
rnacentral:rRNA from 1 species